CCGGGUAUGGCGCAGAAGCAGCGCGCACCGUUCGGGCCGGUGAGGUCGGUGGUGCAAGUCCACCUGCCCGGA
rnacentral:tRNA from 1 species